GCGGGUGUAGCUCAGGGGUAGAGCACAACCUUGCCAAGGUUGGGGUCGAGCGUUCGAAUCGCUUCACCCGCU
rfam:Mesorhizobium sp. TASWS1009 41, whole genome shotgun sequence.